rnacentral:lncRNA from 7 species
ACAGUUCUUUCUUUCUUUCCUUCUUUCUAUCCAUCAUUCUUUUCGGCCUCGAUCCCUGGCCAAUUGUUUGUCAAUUCCUAGUCUAAAGCAGUAGAUCCUCCUUUAAUUUGCUCAUGCCAAGCUCAACUGCAGCUGUUGGCGGGUGCACUUGAAAACAUGUUCCUAUUCUUUAAUUUCCACGCGCUGCUGUCGAGUUGCCAUUGCCAGUGGAAGCCACGACGCCGUGCUGCCUCUUUGUGCGUCAACCAUCGGCUUUUGUAGCAUAUAUAGCUUGAUUUGCUAUGUUCUCUUCUCUGAUGCAGUAGUAGUACAUCUGGCCAAGCUAGGCCAACUGAAUGACUGAACCUCGGAGCUAA